rnacentral:rRNA from 1 species
UACAUGUGGGGCAAGCGUUGUUCGGAAUUACUGGGCAUAAAGGGUGCGUAGGUGGCUUGUUAAGUCAGGGGUGAAAGUUUUCGGCCCAACCGGAAAAUGGCCUUUGAUACUGGCGAGCUUGAGUGCGUGAGGGGUAACCGGAACGAGCAGUGUAGCGGUGAAAAUGCGUAGAUAUUGCUCGGAAGGCCAACGGCGAAGGCAGGUUACUGGUGCGCAACUGACACUGAGGCACGAAAGCGUGGGGGAAGCAAAACAGGG